rnacentral:tRNA from 1 species
ACCUGUUUGGCUCAGUUGAUAGAGCAUGUGACUCUUACUCUUGAGGUUGUGAGUUCAGACCCCACAUUGGGUA